UACGUAGGUGGCAAGCGUCGUCCGGAUUUACUGGGUGUAAAGGGCGUGCAGCCGGGCUGACAAGUCAGAUGUGAAAUCCCGCGGCUCAACCGCGGAACUGCAUUUGAAACUGUCAGUCUUGAGUACCGGAGAGGUCAUCGGAAUUCCUUGUGUAGCGGUGAAAUGCGUAGAUAUAAGGAAGAACACCAGUGGCGAAGGCGGAUGACUGGACGGCAACUGACGGUGAGGCGCGAAAGCGUGGGGAGCAAACAGG
rnacentral:rRNA from 1 species